GGAGCGGCAUUAGACAUACACCUAUAUCUGGUGGUACUUUAUUGUUGCCGGAACCAAGCCUCGGAUCGGACACAGUGGUAUCGAGACAUCUUCAAAUACUCCAUAAUGGUACUCCUCUCCGCAUUCAUUCUCGCAAUGGCAACUGAGGUCCUAACACGACGAGUCCAUGACCCAUACAACGUAGGAAAAAUGCAAAUUGUCAACAAUACCUGCCGAUACCGUGGAUAUGGCGUACCUGACAGUCUGUGUUUAGACUUAUCAAUUCCCUGCAUAAGUGUGUGCUGUAAGGCAAAGAAAUCUCAGCUCGUACUUACCGGAUGCCCCCUUCCUAAAGGCCACACAAUUUCGGCUCAUGAUCGAAGGCCAUUUUGGCCGGCGUGCUGCGUUGAACCGAUCUCAGAACCACCUGUGACCUUACUUGAACGUUCUUUAUCUCCCGAGCCGGAGGGACAUAACUUCAUGUCUGCCUAUCAAUACAGGAAAUUCCAGUAAAAAUCAAGCAAGGCAAUCCUUCUUUGUGUUGCAAAAAU